rnacentral:lncRNA from 10 species
CGAGAAUGUUUCUGAAGGCUUGGGCAGGGCACAUCUCCAAUCUUCAAAAGAGCCUAUGUUUGCCCUGGGCGUGGGGGCUGCUGAUUGAUUCAGCCUGGCAUGGAGCUCUUCCAGCUUUCCAGACUUGCCGCUGCCAGAUGCGGUUCUCUGAGUUCUCUGGUUACAUAAGAUCGGCAGGGCUCAGCCACGAACCACACUGAGAAGAGGGCCAAGGGUCUGUGUGGUCACCGAAAACCAGAGAUGCUUGGGAAGGAAGGAGUCUGGAAAAGCCGUUCCCACGCUGUCUGAUCAAUGUUCGCUGGGCUCCUGCUCUGCACCACGCUGUGGGGAGGAGGCAGGUGUGGAACAGACUCUCGGCCCCUCUCACCAGGCGCUUCCCGCCACCCUCACCCGCCUGCAGGCAGACUGCUUACCAGCAUGGGGUCCCUGCUUCCCAUUUCAUUCGAGGAAAACACAAGGUUCCGGUCCUGGCCUACGAGUCCUGAGGAUGUGCUCUGGCCCUCCUGCUUCUCUCCACCUGGAGCCCCCUUCCCCUACAUCCACCCACACGGCUACGCUCCAAUGUGCUGUGGAAAAUAGCACAAUGCUGUCGUCUUCCUCCAUUAUUUUUUCUCUGGAGCGUUUAUAUCUUGUUUGCUACCUGUCCCUUAACUCCUGACAGCUAGAAUUUGAUUUGUUCACUGCUGUAACCUCCAUACAGCAUUUAUAGUAGAUGCUCAAUAAAUAUUUAUUGACUGAC